rnacentral:rRNA from 1 species
UACGUAGGGGGCUAGCGUUGUCCGGAAUCAUUGGGCGUAAAGCGCGUGUAGGCGGCCCGGUAAGUCCGCUGUGAAAGUCAAGGGCUCAACCCUUGAAAGCCGGUGGAUACUGUCGGGCUAGAGUGCGGGAGAGGCGAGUGGAAUUCCCGGUGUAGCGGUGGAAUGCGUAGAUAUCUGGAGGAACACCGGUGGCGAAGGCGGCAUUCUGGACCGGCAUUGACGCUGAUGCGCGAAAGCCAGGGGAGCAAACGGG